rnacentral:rRNA from 1 species
AUGACGAAGAAAAAUAACACCUACUAUCUGCUGGAUGGGGAGGAGGAGCCUACGAGGCCUAUACAUGGCAACUGCAUUGGCAAGGUGAUGUUCUUAACGGUUGUUGCUUGGCCAAGGUGGGACCAUGAAGGAAACGUGACCUUCUUUGGGAAAAUCUCUAUCUGGCCAUUUGUGAAAGAAGUUCCUGCUCAGAGGAGAAGUGAUAACAGGACCAGAGGUACAAUAGAGACAAAGUCAAUAAAGGUCGACAGAAAAGUGACAAGGGAGUUCCUGAUAGAGAAGGUCUUGCCAGCGAUACAAGCAGUUUGGCCUGAAAGUGAUGCUGGACAGACCAUCUACAUUCAGCACGAUAAUGCUAAGCCCCAUAUCUUGUCAAAUGACCCAGAAUUUCUAGUAGCUGUCGCAAAAACUGGACUUGACAUCAGAAUAAUACAACAGCCUGCCAACAGUCCUGAUUUGAAUGUGCUUGACCUUGGGUUUUUUAACUCGCUUCAAUCCCUGACAGAUUGUCUGAGUCCUAAAACACUACAAGACCUUACUAAUGGUGUUUUGGAGGAAUUUGAAGGCUAUGAGGUUUACAAGCUCAAUAGAAUUUUCCUAUCUCUACAAACAGGGGACAAUGGGUAUAAAAUACCACAUGUGAACAAGUAA